GUGGACAAGCGAUUGAAGUGGAAAUCCUUUUGCCGCGGCGCAGCCGCGGCAAAAGAUUGAACGGAAAGCGCGGUCCCGG
rnacentral:sRNA from 1 species